rnacentral:rRNA from 1 species
UACGAAGGGGGCUAGCGUUGCUCGGAAUCACUGGGCGUAAAGCGCACGUAGGCGGCUUUCUAAGUCAGGGGUGAAAUCCUGGAGCUCAACUCCAGAACUGCCCUUGAUACUGGCGGUCUCGAGUCCGGGAGAGGUGAGUGGAACUGCGAGUGUAGAGGUGAAAUUCGUAGAUAUUCGCAAGAACACCAGUGGCGAAGGCGGCUCACUGGCCCGGUACUGACGCUGAGGUGCGAAAGCGUGGGGAGCAA